rnacentral:lncRNA from 10 species
UCGAGAGAGGAGGAAAAGGGUGCAGUGUUUGAAAUACGGCAGGCAACAUGGACCCAAAACAAAUUACCAGCACCAUAAAGGAGCUCCUGGAUCUCCAUCAGGCUCAUCCUGGAUGAACAAAUUUAUGUGAAAAUGAGAAAUGACCAAGAACUUAAAAGCAGAUUACAGGCAUGUGAUCAACAUUUAAAUGACAUUGGAAGAAACGGUGACUACUAUAGAAACUAAUGAAGAAACAGAUAAAGAGAUAUAUAAAUCAAUGAAAUGGAAUAUUCCAACAUUCUUUGUCCAUGGAGAUGGUGUCAUACUAGUUGCCUUCCACUGACAGCUGGCUGAAACAAGGAAUUUAUCCUGUAUAGAAAAAUACAAGACUUGGUUCAAUGGCCUCUUUAAAUCUGUAAGACAUUCAAAAGAGAAACCUGCAUACAUUUUGAAAUAAAUGACUCCACGAUUCUUCCACUCCUAAACUGAGGAGAUUUGCAGAUAACUCACAACUUCCUAAGCUAAGAGGUAUUUUUAUUUUUCUCCAACCAUUCCAAUAAAUGUGAUCAAGAUACAGAAUUUUUUCAGGAGAUCAUUUGCUCCAUUUUUUUCUUUAAAUUUGAUAUUUGCUUUUUGAUUUCUUAAAAAGACUAUCAAGAGAGUAAAAAUAAAACCCAGAGAAUGGGAGAAAAUAUUUGCAAAUCAUGUAUCUAGUAACAGACUGGGAUUGAAAAUAUAUUAACUACUACAAUUCAACAACUAAAAAACAACCCAACUCAAAAACAAAGAA